rnacentral:lncRNA from 1 species
AACAAACUCCGCAAUGUACUCCCGCAAUACCAAAGCGUCGGUUGUUUAUGGUAUCAUCGCUAAUUUUGUCAUUCGACACGUGUUUUUGGUUAACGAUGCGAGGUGUCUGACUUUUUGGGUAAUCUGGUUGUGCCAGGUCUCAGUCACUAAAUCACUACACAUUGAUGACAUAUGUUGUCUGAAACAUUAUCAAUCACAGGAACACUGAUUUUCAUCUUCGACUUAAACACCC